ACUGAACGUUAUGCCAUGGAUUCUGUAGAUGAGGACCUGUCUGCUCGAAUUCUCCUGCAAAAUGUAAUUCAAACGGAGUCCUCCAGGUCCCCAAUUACCCGCAGUGCCUCCCAGGCUCAGUUCCAGUCCCCUGGGUCCAGAGUCAGACAUAGUAUCAGACUAAGGAGGAGUGAUGUUGUGGCCCUUACCCCACAGGAGGCCCUCAAACAGAGCAUCAAAAAGAAGCUUCGUGAGAGCACUUCCAGGUCUUCCCUGCCAGAGCCACCCAGUAAGAGGUGGGCUGUAUCAGAGGGAGUCGGGAAGAUAAACACGCCUGCACCAGCCACAGCCUCACUUCUCUAUGACGAUGACAUCACACCUAGAUACCUACUCAGGGGGAUCCUGCAGACAGAGCCGGAGACAUCCCUUCUGGUUCAGGACCGGCCAGUCAGGAAGGAGCCAGAGCUGCCCUCCACAAACUCCAGUCUUCACAGCAACCGCCCAAGUACAGGGCUGUCUGACUUGGAUUUCCCUGACAUGACCACCACAGUAAACCUGUCAAAUACGGUGAAGGGACUACGCAGGAAGCGACCAUGUCGGAGUCUCAACAUAACAGCAUUCAACAGGCAGCUUGAACAUGAAGGUGGCAGUGCAACAGAAAAAGACCUCUCAUCCCUGUCUUCUGCCUCUCCAAGCUCUAUCACCUUCUCUCUGAAAACACCCUUUGUGGACAUUCCGAAUGAGAAAAGGAGAUUUCAAAGGAAGGUAGCAAAUCGUAAAAAGAUUUGCCUUGAGGAGUUUGACGAGGCCCUACGGAAUCGACAGGCGGCAAUGGGUGGAGACCCUGAGCUGAGUGUUAGGGAGGAUCAGCAGGGUCUCAGUGAGACCGUUCGUUCUGAGGGGUUCACCUUGGGACUGAGUGACCUCACCGCUCCUGACAUCACCCAUGACAUCAUCACCAGCAAAACAGAGCUCUACGCCCCGCCUGAUGACACAGCAACAACCUUCACUAUCGCCACCCAGGACAAAGACACCAUCACAGGCACACAGAUCCAGCGAGAAAUGGGAGGAAUGAAGGAUGAGGAGGAGAAAGAUAUGGAGGAGGUAGGGGAACAAAAGGAGUACAAGAUGGAAAUAGACAACAAAGAUAGAGAGGAUUUGGCUGUUGAUGCUGGGCAGAGAGAGGCCUUGGUGAGACAGGAGGAGUCCAAAUCACAGACCGAAGAGGUAGCUGACUCCCGGACAGGAGAAGAUGAGGAGCUGGCUAAAUCUCAAACAGAAGGAGAGGUAGCCGAGUCUCCGGCAGAAGGAGAGGUAGCCGAGUCUCCGGCAGAAGGAGAGGUAGCCGAGUCUCCGGCAGAAGGAGAGGUAGCCGAGUCUCCGGCAGAAGGAAGAGGUAGCCGAGUCUGCCGCAGAAGGAGAGGUAGCCGAGUCUCCGGCAGAAGGAGAGGUAGCCGAGUCUCCGGCAGAAGGAGAGGUAGCCGCGUCUCCGACAGAAGGAGAGGUAGCCGCGUCUCCGACAGAAGGAGAGGUAGCCGCGUCUCCGACAGAAGGAGAGGAGGAGGAGAUGACUGA
ensembl:lncRNA